CACAACCAUUGACAAUUAAUUAGACCCAACGCAACUCAGCUGCUUCUCUGCUGCUUCCUCUUCUCCCUCUCCAUCGCCGUCGCCGUCCAAGAAGAGGGGAAAAGGAGAUGGAUCCGGUCGCGGGAAGCAGGUACAGGUUUGGUCCGCACGAGAUAGCCGAGCGGCAGGUGUUCCGCACCUCGCCCCUCUCCUUCGCCAUCGUCAACCUCCGACCCACCCGCCCUGGUCAUAUCCUUUAUUUCUGCCAAUUAUGUGUAUGCACAGCUGCUCUACUCCUCUCUCUAAUUUAGUGCCUUCUAGUAUCUACUUCACAUUGCGGAUAUUGGUGUACGUGUUGAGCAGUACCAGAGGGCUUCUUCGCUCACAUUCACAAUUCAGUUGAAUAAAUAUUGCUACUUAUCAGGACGGACCUCACUCUGGCCAAACAGUUCCACAUGUUCACGUUCACAUCGUUCCCCGAAGGAAGGAAGAUUUUGAGAACAAUGAUAACAAUAAUGGCAUGAUGAAUGCAAAAAACGAGACAUUAGACCUGGAUAUUGAAAGAAAAGAUAGAACGAUGGAAGAAAUGGCCCAAGAAGCCAAAGAAUAUCGUGCUCUUUUCUCCUAGAAAAUGUCUAUUAUAUUGUCAAUAUCUUUCGAAUCUUUCUGAGAGGGACUGCAAAUCUUAAGCACAAGUACAAUGCAAAUGAAACACGAAGUGCUGGUUUGAAGAAAUUGAGUAACACGUAAGCAUGGAUACCCACCAUCUCCUUCUCCGGCUCUCUCUUCGUGGAGGACACUAGUUUUGCCUCUUCUUCAGUAGCUCAUCACCUUGAACUAUGAAGAACAGAUCAUAGGUGUGUAUGGCUUCCAGCAGAUCCGAUCCAGAACAAUGACGAAAGCCAUGAUCAUCGCACAAUCUACAUUCGGUUGGACCUCAAGACUGAAAACAUCUUCAGCAAGAGUCAGUGACAAUGAUGCUGCUCCAGCUUUCUUCCUCGUUAUCCUUGCGACCUCCUCACCGCCGCUGUUGCGGAUCUUGCAGCUUCUUCUCUUGAAACUGCCCUCGAUUGAGAAGGCGGGAACAUGGCCAGUACGAUCUGACGACGCAUGGGUACAUCCUGACAUGUGCACUUCUGCUUCAUGACUGCUUUGCAUAACUGAGCAUUUUCUCAUUGAGAAGAGUUGUUGUGAUCUUGCCCUCUUGCCUUGGCCUUCUUCUGACGCUCUGUAACAAUUCCAUUGGUCAUGCAUGCUGAUAAUCUGUUGCAACAGCAGAAAGGAAAAUAAAAAUCUUAGUUCUUACUUACUCCCCAUGGGUUCUAUUAAUGGUUUCUGUUCUUUUGGCCCAUCUGCUGCACUUGUAACAAGAGGUAAAAGAACUUCAGUCGGAAAGUAGAAUGAACUAGCGGAUAAAUCAAACUCUGUAUGUAACUUCUCCAUUUUUUAAGUUUUGUUUUUAACUCUGUAUGGGAUUUUGGGCAAAUUAAAGCAGAACAGCAUCAAAAUAA